UUGAACAUCAAGUGUAUUCAUGAACAGUGAGUAUCUUAUCUUCAUGUAAACAGUUCUAGAUGGAAGACCCAGAUGGCACUCCUCCCGGGGAGGGGUUCCAGCCCCCACCCUCUCAGCCCCUCCCCUGCCAGCUCAACUCUGCAGUACACGAUGGGGGAAGGCUUAAACGCAGCUGCCAGGUGUAAUUUUUCAAGUGUCAAAGAUCCCAAGUGAUCCCUGACACCCACCCCUUCCUACUCUUACAUUCAUGCGUCUGUAAGAUAGCUGCCUACAACAGGUCAGUAACAAAAAUAAUAAGGUACAUGCUACACACACAUCCAGCUGGAAGCCUUGUUGGCCCCUAAGCCUUUGUUUCAUGCUACAGUACUGAGGGGUAUGUGUCCCCAAUGCACAGCCACCCGCACACAACUCAAUGAGCUUCCUGGGAAACACUAUUCCCCCACCUCCACCUUAGGUGGCUGCCUCAGUUUUCCAACCACAGGAAUCAGUCCCUCAGCUCCUGCCUCUAGUCUCCACCCCAAAAGUUCAGUCGUCUCUGUCUUGGAGGGCACUGUCGGCCCCCUCAGGUUGAAGUUCAACACUCCUCAAUGAGCAGCUGUUCCGAGCUGUACAGCUUCUUCUUGAUGACUCGGAAGCCAGUGCUCAGCGUCAGGGACUGGCUGAAGCCAGGGAGGAAGGGAGAGUUGGCGGAGCUAAACAGCCCCUGGAUCUUGGGCCAGAGUCGUGAGUCCAGGCGCAGCACGAGGGUCAGCUGGAAGGUGGGCACCAGGCUGGGGUCGAGUGCCAGCUGGCCCACGCUGUGGCAGCUCUUGCCCUGCUCCACGCAGACGUCCAGCAGCGCCCCCCGCA
rnacentral:lncRNA from 1 species